GUUAAGUCAGAUGUGAAAGCCCGGGGCUUAACCUCGGAAUUGCAUUUGAAACUGGCAGACUAGAGUACUGUAGAGGGGGUAGAAUUUCAGGUGUAGCGGUGAAAUGCGUAGAGAUCUGAAGGAAUACCGGUGGCGAAGGCGGCCCCCUGGACAGAUACUGACACUCAGAUGCGAAAGCGUGGGGAGCAAACAGGAUUAGAUACCCUGGUAG
rnacentral:rRNA from 1 species